GACAGAGGUGCCGAGCGUUAGGCGGAAUCACUGGGCUUAAAGCGUGUGUAGGCGGGUGCCUAAGUACCUUGUGAAAUCCCACGGCUCAACCGUGGAACUGCUCGGUAUACUGGGUGCCUUGAGCCAACUAGGGGCGACCGGAACAAACGGUGGAGCGGUGAAAUGCGUAGAGAUCGGGAAGAACACCAGUGGCGAAAGCGCUCUGCUGGACUGCAACUGACACUGAGGGACGAAAGCUAGGGGAGCGAAAGGG
rnacentral:rRNA from 1 species